rnacentral:rRNA from 1 species
UUCUGGUUGAUCCUGCCGGACCUGACUGCUAUCGGAUUGAUACUAAGCCAUGCGAGUCAUUGUAGCAAUACAAGGCAGACGGCUCAGUAACGCGUAGUCAACCUAACCUAUGGACGGGAAUAACCUCGGGAAACUGAGAAUAAUGCCCGAUAGAACACUAUACCUGGAAUGGUUUGUGUUCCAAAUGAUUUAUCGCCGUAGGAUGGGACUGCGGCCUAUCAGUUUGUUGGUGAGGUAAUGGCCCACCAAGACUAUUACAGGUACGGGCUCUGAGAGGAGUAGCCCGGAGAUGGGUACUGAGACACGGACCCAGGCCCUAUGGGGCGCAGCAGGCGAGAAAACUUUGCAAUGUGCGAAAGCACGACAAGGUUAAUCCGAGUGGUUUCUGCUAAAGGAACCUUUUGUUAGUCCUAGAAACACUAACGAAUAAGGGGUGGGCAAGUUCUGGUGUCAGCCGCCGCGGUAAAACCAGCACCUCAAGUGGUCAGGAUGAUUAUUGGGCCUAAAGCAUCCGUAGCCGGCUCUGUAAGUUUUCGGUUAAAUCUGUACCCUCAACGUACAGGCUGCCGGGAAUA